rnacentral:rRNA from 1 species
CCUGCCCAAGAGAUCGGGAUAACACCUGGAAACAGAUGCUAAUACCGGAUAACAACAGAUGAUGCCUAUCAACUGUUUAAAAGAUGGUUCUGCUAUCACUCUUGGAUGGACCUGCGGUGCAUUAGCUAGUUGGUAGGGUAACGGCCUACCAAGGCGAUGAUGCAUGGCCGAGUUGAGAGACUGAUCGGCCACAUUGGGACUGAGACACGGCCCAAACUCCUACGGGAGGCAGCAGUA